CGCGUAGGCGGCUUGAUAAGUCAAAGGUGAAAGCCCUCGGCUCAACCGAGGAACUGCCUUUGAUACUGUCUCGCUAGAGGCCGGGAGAGGGUAGUGGAAUUCCCAGUGUAGCGGUGAAAUGCGUAGAUACUGGGAGGAACACCCGUGGCGAAGGCGGCUACCUGGACCGGUACUGACGCUGAGGUGCGAAAGCGUGGGGAGCAAACA
rnacentral:rRNA from 1 species